GACGAACCACACGAACGUUAUUCGGAAUUACUGGGCUUAAAGGGUGCGUAGGCUGUGCAGAAGGUUAGGUGUGAAAUCCCCCGGCUCAACCGGGGAAUUGCGCUUAAAACUACUGUGCUAGAGGAAUACAGAGGUGAGCGGAACUUCGGGUGGAGCGGUGAAAUGCGUUGAUAUCCGAAGGAACACCGGUGGCGAAAGCGGCUCACUGGGUAUUUUCUGACGCUGAUGCACGAAAGCUAGGGGAGCAAACGGG
rnacentral:rRNA from 1 species